rnacentral:lncRNA from 1 species
CAACAAAUUUGUACAAACCAUUCGUGAUAAAGUUGUCCACUGAUCUUCAAAAAUCAUUCGUUUAAAAUUAGGUGGUGACAUUUUUCUAAAUUUCAAGUUCAAAUUCUUUCUAUGAGAUUCUAGGUAUAGUUCCUUCCCGCGUCACACUACAAGAAAACUGACCGCCAAUAGCGGCAACACUAUUAGCGGCGACAGCCAAUAAGUCGCCGCUAUUGGUCGUAUCCGCACCUGGUGUCCCACAUUAAACCCUAGCCACACGAUUCUAUUCAUCAUCCAACGGCUGGGGUUUGUCCGGGUUAAUAGCGGCGAUGUAUUUAACCAAUAGCGGCGAUAUGUUGUCGCCCCUAUUGGUCCGACGAAUAAAUCAGCAAACGGCGCCAGUUCUUCCCUCCUUUCACUUUCCCAAAACCUUUCGUCUCUCUCGUGUAUAGAUGUAUGCCAAGUCAUCAAUCCAAGGAAAGACCAAGAUUCCCAAGUCCUGAACCUGUGUGCUUAGUGGGAUGUGGAUUACAACAAGAAGUCAAGAUAGCCAGAGACGGUUAAGAAAAUUUAGAUUGGUUGAUAUGGUCAUGAGAUGGUUUUAAUCAAAUAUUUUACUUUUAUGUUG